rnacentral:piRNA from 1 species
UGUCCAACCCGUGUCCAAUCAACGGA